UUCCCUUCUGCCACACUGGCCCAGGCACAAAAGGGGAUUCCCUGCCCAACACAUGAACUCCUUUCUGCAACUGGCAUUCUGCUCUAAAAACCAGAUUCCUUGUGAGAACUUAUCCCUAGGGAGCCCUUGCCUAACUUCUGCCUGGAACUGGAAUAUGAUAUGCAUACCUUUCAUUAUUGGCCAAGAUUUCCAUUGUGCAUAGUGAAAAGCAUAGAAGCUUUGGUAUCAGACACUCCCAGACACAAAUUCCAGCCUUAUCAAUUACUAACUGUAAAACCUCAGGCAAUCUAUGAAAAGGGAACAGUAAGGACUUCUUCACAUGAGAUCAUCUACAAAGGGCUUUGAUUAGUUCUCUCUUCCCUCUCUGAGAAGAAUUUGGGGUAGAUAUUGGUUAGGAUUUUUUUCAGUUGCUGGGAAUGGUUACUCAACUGAAAGUUAUUGAAACAGUGAGGAUAUUUACGGGUUUAUAUAAAAUAAAGUCCAGAGGCAGGAAAGCAUCAAGUCCUGUUUAUCCUAUCUAAUUAUGUCAUAAACAAGCAAGGUUUCUUCUGUCUCUCUGCAUAACCAUCCACAAAGAAGAGCUCAUCCUCAAGAAAAUUCUCUACUUGGUAGUAUGGUGGCUUUGAGGAACAAUUGGUGUUAUAUGCUUCUCUAUUUACUUUUAGAGGCAAGGAGAGUAUUUCUUCCUAAUCUUUGGAACUGAAGUUCUUCUUGUUCAUUGCUUGAACCAAUUUAAGUCAUAUGUUCUUACAUGGAUAACUUUUAUGGAGAGAUGCUAGGUGCUAAUUGGCCUAAGUUCCUGAACUACCAUGAGUCAAUGAACUACUAUAAUUGACUAAGAACCAUAAGGGCCAUUUCUAAUUCUAUCGAAAGUACCCAGUGAGGAAGGGGUGGGGUGAAUGUUGAAGAUAAGACUCUAUAGGGUGAAAAAGCCUGAACACUUGUUCACAUUCCUACUCUACAAGUACCAGUGGAGUUAUCUUUUCUGAACUUCAUUUUAUCCAUAUGAAAAUGACGUACAAAAAUAGUACCUGUCUCAUUGGCUAGUUUUGAGGAUUCAGGGAAAUAAAAUCUGUGAAACCCUUAGCAUGGAGCCUAGAAAAUGUCUACAAAUUCUAAUUUUUACUAUUUCACUAUGUGCUUCGAAAUGUGGUACCACUUCCCGCAAGAUUUGGCUGUCAUCUAAUUCCUGGAUUCCUAUCAUGGACCCCUUUGCACCAGAGUGGCUAAAUCACUAUUUAUUUCAUACCUUCUCUACCUUGUACCUGUGAUUGUUCAGCUGCUCAUAAAGGGUAGCCUGGAUUUGUUCUUUCUCUACCUGCAACACUAUCCUAUCAAAUCUCAACUAUUGAAAUAUCAACUUGUUUAGUGCCUGAGUACUAUGAUUGAUGUGGUGUGUCAGCUUGGCUAAAUUAAGGGACACCCAGAUAGCUGAUAAUGCAUUAAUUAUUCUCAGAGUUUCAGUAAGGCAUGAGUCCCUACUGAAAAUAUGCUAACCAAUAUCCAACCAGAUGGGAUAAGCCCAUCCCUUUUCAGCUGCAAGAGGUACCCAAGUGUUUUGACAUUUGAUUAGAAUGAUUGAGCUUCCUCAGGUGUGUUUGUGAUGUGUUUCUAGAGGAGAUUGGCAUGUGAGUCAGUGGACUGAGUGGGGAAGGUCUGUGCUCAGUAUAAGCAGGGAACAUCUAAUCAGCUGGUGGCCCGGCUGGAUCAAAAGGUGGAAAAAGGAUGAUUUCUUACUGUCUCUUCCAGAGUCAGGGUGUCCUACUCUUCCUGACUCUGAAUAUUGGAACUCCAUAUUUUCUGGCCUUUGAACUCUGGGACUUGUAUCCAUGGAACCCCUGAAUUCUUAGGCCUUCAGAUUGAAAGUUAUGCCCCUGGCUUUCUUCUCUACCUUGCAGAAGCAUUGACUGAGCAAGCACUGAGCCAUGCUACCAGCUCCCUGGUUCUGUAGCUUCCUGGCAGCCUAAGGUAGCACUUCUCAGCCUUCACAAUGAACUGAGUUAAUUCCCUCCUCAUGUAUCCCUAUAGAUCCGGUGAGUUCUCUCUCUCUCUGGAGAACCCUGCUGGAAACAAAGAGCAAACUAUCUUGAUAAUUUUCCUGGUAACCAAGAAAUGAUGAAUAACAAGUAUUAGCCACUGUCUGUUUAUGCCAACAGUGAAUUUUAAAAUGUCUUCUAUGGUGUUAACUGCUAAGAUGCCUACUACAAGAAUUGAAUAUUUGUAUUUGAGCUCCACAUUGGAACUAGGUCUGCUUUAUUACUAUGCCAACCAAUAUCAUUACUGCAUUGCUUACAGUCUCAUUUUGUCUUACAGAUAGAUACUAUUCAAUAUUAUACAUCCUUAGAUGUUUUAAAAUUUCUAUGGGUUUUACCGCUUUCUAAAUAGGGGCUUUCCUUUUCUGCUAUAUCUUUGUUAUCCAGAAAUACUAAACAUAUUCUUUUUUACUUUUUCUAUUUGCUUUCUUUGAUGGCAUUCAAAUUUUUUAAAAUUUAUCCAUUUACAUCCUGAAAGGUGUAAUGAAUUCCAUGGGUUUAUUAAGUUCCCAUACUUUGCUUUCUGAUCCUUUCUUUCUCUUCCUCGCCCCUCACCAUAAAAGCCUGGAAGUGACACACAACUGCAGCCCUUUGAAAAAGUGGACUGUGCUGUGGUGGCAAUAGCGAAGGACAAUCGCUCUUGGUUAUUCAAACCUUUCCAAGAGGAAGUUGAAGGCCAGUCUGUCAUAGAAGCCCAGGAAGACCCAAAGGCUACAGUGGCAGUUUCAAACUGGCAUAUGGGUCUUUGCCUAAAGGAUUUUGCAGCUUAUUUUUCUCCUUCCUGAUUGCACAUGGUAGCCCCUCUUCAGCACACAUGUGCACCAGGGCUCAGCUUCCGUGACUCCUGCCCUCCAGCCACUGCUGAAGAGAUGAACCUCUGGGAGGGAGCAAAAGGAUUAAAGGGACAAGCCUCUGAAGUUUGUAUGAAUUGGAGCACUUGGGGAGCAGAGCUUGAUUGACAUUGGAGCUUUCUCACUGACAUAUUCUGGAUCCUGUUGGGAACUUCCGCUGCCCUCUUUAUUCUCAAGGAUGCUUGCAGCCUCAGAAAUUGAGAGUGAUCUAAGACCUCUCUUUUUAUGUUAAAGAGGCUUCAAUAGGCCCCCAAAGCUGCCACGAGUUUUAAUUGUGCUGAUUAAAACCAGAGUACCAUGUACUGAUACUACAGGUGUAAGGGUAUUUAUUAUCACAACAAGAAAAAUCUGAAGAAACUGGAACCAUGUUAGAAAACCAAGAAGUCAUGU